GGGAUUGCCUUAGUAACGGCGAGUGAAGCGGCAAAAGCUCAAAUUUGAAAUCUGGUACCUUCGGUGCCCGAGUUGUAAUUUGGAGAGGGCAACUUUGGGGCCGUUCCUUGUCUAUGUUCCUUGGAACAGGACGUCAUAGAGGGUGAGAAUCCCGUGUGGCGAGGAGUGCGGUUCUUUGUAAAGUGCCUUCGAAGAGUCGAGUUGUUUGGGAAUGCAGCUCUAAGUGGGUGGUAAAUUCCAUCUAAAGCUAAAUAUUGGCGAGAGACCGAUAGCGAACAAGUACAGUGAUGGAAAGAUGAAAAGAACUUUGAAAAGAGAGUGAAAAAGUACGUGAAAUUGUUGAAAGGGAAGGGCAUUUGAUCAGACAUGGUGUUUUGUGCCCUCUGCUCCUUGUGGGUAGGGGAAUCUCGCAUUUCACUGGGCCAGCAUCAGUUUUGGUGGCAGGAUAAAUCCAUAGGAAUGUAGCUUGCCUCGGUAAGUAUUAUAGCCUGUGGGAAUACUGCCAGCUGGGACUGAGGACUGCGACGUAAGUCAAGGAUGCUGGCAUAAUGGUUAUAUGCCGCCCGUCUUGAAACACGGACCUCCUGUGUGAA
rnacentral:rRNA from 1 species